rnacentral:lncRNA from 1 species
GAAUGAGACUCUUGAACGCUUCCUCUGACAAGCUCCAAGGCACACUGGUUGUCUUGCAGUGCUUUGGACAGCUACUCGUUUGUUGGACAAUAAUUUCCCAACAUGGGGACAACCCAGAGCAUUUUCCACUUCCAUAUUCUGCUUCAGUUGCUCAUGGUUUUGAUCGAAGCUAGACAGUGACUGAACCAGGAGGCUCAGACCCCAGGCCAGCGUGGAGUCCUGUGGUUGAAGACAGGCUGGACCAUCAGAGGAAGAAAACAAGUAGCCCUUUUUUCUGGAUUUUCACCUUCUCUGUUUUCAGGAAACCUGAAGCCAAUUAUGUUAUGCAGGCAUGACUGAAAAGAGAUUAUUUUGAGUUGUUUUGGUGGCACCAAGAAAUGUGCCAAUGUGACAGCCAAAAAAGCAGAAAGACCAAGGCAUUGAGAGUGGGAGAGCCACUGAUGAUGCUGGGUCUGGUAGGCUUUUCGAGAUCUCUCCCAGCCCCAAAACAGCCAAGCAACUCUGUCCUGGGUUGUGAGUGGGCUCAGCCGCCCCUGUGCACACCCAUGCUUGGAUUCUGGCACACAUGGCACCCACAGGAGGCAGUUCCCCCUUCAGGAGACUGGUUGGCAGGACCCUGUCUCCACACGCAAAGACAGCAGGCAGAACCCACACGUCCUCUAGUUUUCCCAGUGUCACUCGCCCAUGGGGGUUCACGAUGAGACCCCACGGGUCCAACCUGCAGGCAGAGUUGCCACCCCAGCCUGAGGCAAAGUGGACCUUUUUCUGCCAGAGGGGUCUGCUUUCCCAUUGGCCAAAAUGGCCUCAAAUGACAGGGACAGAACAAGGCACAAGUGUACCCAUUAGAGUGUCUGAGCCCGCCUGGUGUCUGCUUCCACACAUCUCCUGGGAGGUCCCAGCAGGCACCCAGGCCUGGGCCACAGCUCACCCCACAUUCAGAGGUGGGUAGCACAGCUGCCCUAUGCAGGCCUCAGGGAGGAAAGGGAGAAAGAGAUGACAAAAGCAAGACACAAGAAAUGCAGCAAAAGCACACAAACACACACACUGACACUCAUCUGGGGCAGGCCAUCCUCUCACCCAUGACCAGCAGUGCAGGCAGCUGAGAGUUGGGCAGGAGGUGGUGCCACCAUCCCCUGAGUUAGGGCCUGGAUCCAAGGAAGAACAUAGAGUCCCUAGAGUCAAGCGCCACUGACCUCAAGACCUGCAGUUUGCAGGGAGGGGAUGCUGUGAGAAGAACUGUUCUAGGUCACAGCGAAAUAUGUCUGACUUCAAGAAAAUAUUUGAAACCAAAGUACAUUUAUUGAAGACUCUCAAUGAUAUAAAAAAGCACAGUUUAGAAAAUGUGAAAGCAAUCACUGAACAUAUUCAUAUAUUUUCAUCUAAAUUUAGUUACAGAGUUUUUCUAAAACUGGGAUCAGGCCAGGUAUGGUGGCUCAGGCCUGUAAUCCUAGCACUUUGGGAGCUUGAGGCAGGAGGAUCGCUUGAGGCCAAGAGUGGAGACCAGCCUGGGCAACAUGGUGAGACCCCUCAUCUCUACCAAAAAUACAGAACUUGGCCAGUCAUGGUAGCACACUCCUGUAGUCCCAGCUACACAGAAGGCUGAGGUGGGAGAAUUGCUUGAGCCUGGGAGGUUGAGGCUGCAGUUAGACAAGACUGCACCACUGCAUUCCAGCCUGGGUGACAGCCUGUCUCAAAAAAUAAUAACAGUAAUUCCCGAUUUUAAUAAUUAUUCUAGAGUUGUGUAAAAGAAUACCCUUAGGAAAUGCACACUUUGGGGUAAUUAUGUCUAUAGUUUACACUGAAAUCAUUAAAAGAGGUAUGUAAACAGACAAAGCAAAUGGGACAAAAUGGAGCAAAUUUCUACAAAUUUUAGAAAUUGGUGAGUCUUGGUUAAGAGAAGGAGGAGGAUUCUUGGUACUAUUCUUGUGACUUUUGAAAUUAUAUAAAAAUUUUAAGUUCCUAAAAACUGGCUGUAGAACUAUACGCUCAGAGUGAGCAUUUAUUUUGUAAAAUAGUGAUUAAGACCAAAUCUUUAAUCAGUUAAAAAUCUGAUCAAAUAAAAGUAGUAAUAUAUUACGGUAUUUUUGACAUCAAAUCAUUGUAAAGGGGCAAUAACUUACAAGUUUGUCUCCAAGCACAGUACAUUUUUAUGGAUUUUUAAAGAAUUCACGUUCCCGUAAUUCUUACCUUCCUCCACCUAAAGUGACACAGUUUACCAAAUAAUUUGGAGUAAUGGUUAGAUUGGGUUAAAUUCUCAAGGCUUCCUCUUUAAAAAUCAUACAUUUAAUUCGGGUAGGGAAUGACUUGGCUUCUUUGUUCCUGUGAAAGAAGUAUAUAAAAAUGCCCCCUUAGUAACUAU